GCCUGGAUAGAUCAGCUGGUUAGAGCGUGGUGCUCUUAACGCCAAGGUUGCAGGUUCAAUUCCUGUAUGGGACA